AGUGAACGCUGGCGGUAGGCCUAACACAUGCAAGUCGAACGGCAGCACAGUAAGAGCUUGCUCUUACGGGUGGCGAGUGGCGGACGGGUGAGGAAUACAUCGGAAUCUACUUUUUCGUGGGGGAUAACGUAGGGAAACUUACGCUAAUACCGCAUACGACCUACUGGUGAAAGCAGGGGAUCUUCGGACCUUGCGCGAUUGAAUGAGCCGAUGUCGGAUUAGCUAGUUGGCGGGGUAAAGGCCCACCAAGGCGACGAUCCGUAGCUGGUCUGAGAGGAUGAUCAGCCACACUGGAACUGAGACACGGUCCAGACUCCUACGGGAGGCAGCAGUGGGGAAUAUUGGACAAUGGGCGCAAGCCUGAUCCAGCCAUACCGCGUGGGUGAAGAAGGACUUCGGGUUGUAAAGCCAUUUUGUUGGGAAAGAAAAGCAGCAGGUUAAUACCCCGCUGUUCUGACGGUACCCAAAGAAUAAGCACCGGCUAACUUCGUG
rnacentral:rRNA from 1 species